rfam:Purpureocillium lilacinum isolate PLFJ-1 scaffold00005, whole genome shotgun sequence.
GGUCGAGUAGUUUAAAGGUUAUGACGAUCGCUUCACAUUAGUAGAGCGCGCGAUAGAUCCGGGUUCGAUUCCCGGCUCGACUA